GUGGGGAAUCUUCCGCAAUGGACGAAAGUCUGACGGAGCAACGCCGCGUGAGUGAUGAAGGUCUUCGGAUUGUAAAGCUCUAUUAAUCGGGACGAAAGAGCCUAGUGUGAAUAAUGCUAGGAAGUGACGGUACCGGAAUAGAAAGCCACGGCUAACUACGUGCCAGCAGCCGCGGUAAUACGUAGGUGGCAAGCGUUGUCCGGAAUUAUUGGGCGUAAAGCGCGCGCAGGCGGAUCUGCCAGUCUGUCUUAAAAGUUCGGGGCUUAACCCCGUGAUGGGAUGGAAACUACAGAUCUAGAGUAUCGGAGAGGAAAGUGGAAUUCCUAGUGUAGCGGUGAAAUGCGUAGAUAUUAGGAAGAACACCAGUGGCGAAGGCGACUUUCUGGACGAAAACUGACGCUGAGGCGCGAAAGCCAGGGGAGCGAACGGGAUUAGAAACCCCAGUAGUCC
rnacentral:rRNA from 1 species